rnacentral:rRNA from 1 species
CCUACGGGAGGCAGCAGUGGGGAAUAUUGCGCAAUGGGGGAAACCCUGACGCAGCAACGCCGCGAGAGUGAAGAAGGUUUUCGGAUCGUAAAGCUCUGUUGUUGGUGAAGAAAGAUAGUGAGAGUAACUGCUCAUUAUUUGCCGGUAAUCAACCAGAAAGUCACGGCUAACUACGUGCCAGCAGCCGCGGUAAU